rnacentral:rRNA from 1 species
UACGUAGGGUGCGAGCGUUAAUCGGAAUUACUGGGCGUAAAGCGUGCGCAGGCGGUUAUGUAAGACAGAUGUGAAAUCCCCGGGCUUAACCUGGGAACUGCAUUUGUGACUGCAUAGCUAGAGUACGGUAGAGGGGGAUGGAAUUCCGCGUGUAGCAGUGAAAUGCGUAGAUAUGCGGAGGAACACCGAUGGCGAAGGCAAUCCCCCUGGACCUGUACUGACGCUCAUGCACGAAAGCGUGGGGAGCAAACAGG